rnacentral:rRNA from 1 species
GAUGAACGCUAGCGGCAGGCUUAAUACAUGCAAGUCGAGGGGCAGCACGGUUAGCAAUAACUGGUGGCGACCGGCGCACGGGUGCGUAACACGUAUACAAUCUACCUUAAACAGGGGGAUAGCCUUUCGAAAGAGAGAUUAAUACCCCGUAAUAAAUUGAACGGCAUCGUUUGAUUUUGAAAGCUCCGGCGGUUUGAGAUGAGUAUGCGUCUGAUUAGCUAGUUGGUGAGGUAACGGCUCACCAAGGCGACGAUCAGUAGGGGAUCUGAGAGGACUAACCCCCACACUGGUACUGAGACACGGACCAGACUCCUACGGGAGGCAGCAGUAAGGAAUAUUGGUCAAUGGAGGCAACUCUGAACCAGCCAUGCCGCGUGCAGGAUGACGGCCCUAUGGGUUGUAAACUGCUUUUACUACAAGAGAAAACCCUGGUACGUGUACCAGGUU